CUGAUGGAACCCAUCAUAUCAAAUGUCUGCGGUACUGCUUCAAUGACCUUAUAUUCUUUAACAAUGACAAAUUAUAUAUGAGCAGCACAUCAGUCUGGAUUAUGCCAUGUCAAGGAGCAGUGAGGGAGGUCCCAAACAUUUGGAUCUUGACACUGAUGUCAAGUCAGGCACCUUAGGAUGCCACAAGAGCUGAUGACGAGGACUGGGAUACACUCAGCCUUAUCUGGCCACCAGAAGGAGAGUGGAAAGAACCUUGGAAUUCCAUCACUUCAGAGGGGGCAAUCUGGAUCCAUUCAGCUUCAUCAAGCUUACUGAAUGGCCAGACAGUCCGGACUACGCCAUUAUGCCAUCUUGAGGACUAAUGAAGGAAGUCCCAAACAUUUCGAGCUUGACACUGAUGUUGAGUCAGGCCCAUCAGGUUGCCUCAAGAGUGAAGGACCUUAUAUCCACAACAUCUGGACUUCAGAAGGCCAGGACUAGGAUCCACUCAGCUUUGCCUGGCUGCCAGAAGGAAAGUGGAAAGGAACUUGAGCGGGCCGCUGUGGCUGAGCGGAUCUAGGCACUUCAGUCCGGAACCGCGUGACUGCUACGGGCACAGGUUCGAAUCCUGCCUCGGGCAUGGAUGUGUGUGAUGUCCUUUGGUUGGUUAGUUCCAGGGGACUGGUGACCUCUGAUGUUAAGUCCCAUAGUGCUCAGAGCCAUUUCAACCAUUUUGAAAGGACCUUGGAAUUCCAUCACUUCAGAGGUGGCGAUCCGGAUCCUUUCAGCAUCAUCAGGCUUAGUGAAUGGCAAAUCAGUCCGGACUAUGCCAUCUUGAACACUAGAGGGAAGUCCCAAACAUUUGGAGCUUGGCACUGAUGUCGAGUCAGGCCCCAUACACUGUAUCAAGAGUGGAGGACCUUAUAUCCCCAACAUCUGGAGUUCAGGAGGUCAGGACUGGGAUGCACUCUGGCAGAAGGAGAGUGGAAAUGUCCAUGAAAUAUCAGCACUUCAGAGGUCAGGAUUGUGAUUCACUCAGCCUCAUCAGGCCUAGUGAAAGGCAAGUCAGUCCAGAGUGUGAUGCAUUGAAAGCAGAUGGGAAGGACCUGAGAUGUCUCCACCAUUUGGAGUUCAGGAUAGCAUUCCACCCUGUCCACUACAGCUACGUCAGGAUCAGAUUUGAGAGGAACUGCAAUAUCUGAUCCCAGAACUAAAGACAACUCAGUAUCUUCAGGAAGACUCGAGUGUGUGGAGGUCAUGCAUCUAUAAUAAGUAGAAUUAGGGACUGAAAUGCUGUUGGCAUGGCCGGGUCACCACAGAAAUGCUUGAAGUCCAGUCAUCAAGAACUGGAUUUCUACAGCAUCAACAACAGCCAGAGAAAUACUACGUGCUCUUUUCUUCUUGGUAGAAAACAGACUCCUCUGAGGCAUAGACUUACUUUUAUGGCCCUUAUCUGUUUGUCUGAAAUAACCAUUUUGGGGUCAAACAGC